GAUGAACGCUAGCGGCAGGCCUAAUACAUGCAAGUCGGACGGGAUUGGAGAGCUUGCUUUCCAUGAGAGUGGCGCACGGGUGCGUAACACGUAUGUAACCUACCUUGUUCAGGGGGUUAGCCUCGAGAAAGCGAGAUUAAGACCGCAUAACAUUGCGAUGUGGCAUCACAUUGUAAUCAAAUAUUUAUAGGAACAAGAUGGGCAUGCGGAACAUUAGCUAGUUGGUAAGAUAACGGCUUACCAAGGCUACGAUGUUUAGGGUAUAUGAGAGGAUGAACCCCCACACUUGUACUGAGCCACGGACCAGACUCCUACGGGAGGCAGCAGUACGGGAUAUUGGUCAAUGUGCGGAAGCCUGAACCAGCCAUGCCGCGUGCAGGAAGACGGCCCUAUGGGUUGUAAACUGCUUUUGCAGGGGAAUAAACCUUGGUACGUGUACCAAGCUGAAUGUACUCUGAGAAUAAGGAUCGGCUAACUCCGUGCCAGCAGCCGCCGUAA
rnacentral:rRNA from 1 species